rfam:Camelus ferus unplaced genomic scaffold scaffold64, whole genome shotgun sequence.
GAGGGUAUAGCUCAGUGAUCGAACACAUGCUCAGCAUGCAUGAGGUCCUGGGUUCAAUCCCCAGUACCUCCA